UACGUAGGCAGCGAGCGUUGUUCGGAGUUACUGGGCGUAAAGCGCGCGCAGGCGGUUUCUCAAGUCAGUGGUGAAAGCCCGGAGCUCAACUCCGGAACUGCCAUUGAAACUGUGAAACUUGAGGACGAGAGAGGUGAGUGGAAUUCCCAGUGUAGAGGUGAAAUUCGUAGAUAUUGGGAAGAACACCGGUGGCGAAGGCGGCUCACUGGCUCGUUUCUGACGCUCAGGCGCGACAGCGUGGGGAUCAAACAGG
rnacentral:rRNA from 1 species